GACUAUCCCCACUCACAGAGGGAGGGGCCAGGCCAACCAGAAGCCUCAUUUCCUGCUCUGGCAACUGAUGUGGCUCAGGGAAACACACAAUGUCCCUGUCCACAGACAGGGACCCUGGAUACUUGGACAUCAACUAUUUUCCUUUCUUCACAACCCAGCCUAUGAGCCACAGCACCCCAACAUGGUUGGACACAUUAUUCCCUGUGAGUGACUGGGCAUGACAGUGCUGGUGGCUAGUGAAACUUACCCCGCUGGACUUUCAGAAGAUUGUACUGAUCCUUC